UAGGCUCAUGUUAUUGAGAGAGAGAGAGAGAGAGAGAGAGCCGCAUAAGAAAAAGAAAGAAGCAUCGCUGCACAACUGGGUGGCUGAAAUCCGGUUCCUCCAACAUAGAAGCGCCGUUUGGGGUGGAAUCCGAUGGGUGAGGCCGCGUGAUGAUGGAUUUACGGCAGGGGGAAGCACCGAUAUACCCCCUCGUCGGCUAUAGAAGGCAGUACGGUUAGGGACCCAACAUGCUUUGAUAGUUGUACGCUGCAAUCAAUGUGCCUCUGAUUCUAACUCAGGUACCGUUACUCCUAUACAUUUGUGUGGAAUUUUCUUUCAUAAAUGUCAACUAGCUUCAGAAGUGAUAGUGAUGCUCCCUCAAGUGUGUAGGAACUUGGAUUUAGAGGUAGAGGGAAGGGCUUUGAAGGAAGUAAUGAAACCAACUGAUGACGGGUCUAAUUAAUCUGAAACUCCCAACAAACAAGUUCUAGCAACUCCCAACAAAGCACCAGCGACAACCCCACUAGCUAUGAAGAAUUCAGAAUUGCAAACUCAGAUAAAUCUUGCUCUAAAAGAUCUAUAGAAAGCAAAAGAACAAUUGAGAACCUAAAAGAAGCACAAAGAGUAACUAAGGAAGCAAAUGAGAAACUUAUGGAGGCAUUGGUGGCUCAAAAACGGGUUGAGGAGGAUUCUUAAAUUGAGAAAGCUCCGCAGUUUUGAAUCCGGACAUGCUGGAAUUGAAGCUAUUCAAAAGAUGGAAGGUAGAAAGAGCUUUGAAGGUGUAAGGAACCAGCAUGCUUAGUAUGUGGCUUGAAAAUAAGUAACUUUUUUAGGGAAAAAUUUUGGUAUUUUUUGUAUAGGUGUGAUCUUUAUGAAUUGCAUGAAACUUAUUGUUAAUUGAAAUUCAUUUAUCUCUUUGAUCAAUGAA